UAGGGUGUAGUAUUAUUGGGCAUACGAAGAGUUUUGGACUUUUAGAUGGAGGUUCGAGUCCUCUUUCCCUAG
rnacentral:tRNA from 1 species